AGAAAGAAAAUUUGUAAACACAUGCUUUGAGUACCUUCCCAGGUACCCCAUCAGGGCCAGCAGCCUUUUUCACAUUCACUGAUCUAAGCACCUGCUUCACAUCAUACUCUUGUACUGUGAACAGUUGAGUACCAGUGGUUUGUAGAGGCAGUGUGU